CACGUAGUUAGCCGGAGCUUCCUCCCCAGGUACCGUCAUCUUCGUCCCUGGGGACAGUGGUUUACAAUCCAGAGGACCGUCUUCCCACACGCGGCGUCGCUGCAUCAGGGUUUCCCCCAUUGUGCAAUGUCCCCCACUGCUGCCUCCCGUAGGAGUCUGGGCCGUGUCUCAGUCCCAAUGUGGCCGUUCGACCUCUCAGUCCGGCUACCGAUCGUCGGCUUGGUGAGCCGUUACCUCACCAACUACCUAAUCGGACGCGAGCCCAUCUCCGAGCGAUAUAAUCUUUGAUACCAAAGGGAUGUCCCUCCAGUAUGUUAUGCGGUAUUAGCGACCGUUUCCAGCCGUUAUUCCCCUCUCGAAGGCAGGUUGCUCACGUGUUACUCACCCGUCCGCCACUAAACUAUCCCGAGAUCCAUCCGAAAACUUCUCCCAAAAUAGUCCCGUUCGACUUGCAUGUGUUAGGCGCGCCGCCAGCGUUCGUCCUGAGCCAGGAUCAAACUCU
rnacentral:rRNA from 1 species